GACGAACGCUGGCGGCGUGCCUAAUACAUGCAAGUCGAACGAGAGCGACCGGUGCUUGCACUGCUCAAUCUAGUGGCGAACGGGUGAGUAACACGUGGGUAACCUGCCCAUCAGAGGGGGAUAACAUCCGGAAACGGAUGCUAAAACCGCAUAGGUCUUCGAACCGCAUGGUUUGAAGAGGAAAAGAGGCGCAAGCUUCUGCUGAUGGAUGGACCCGCGGGGCAUUAGCUAGUUGGUGAGGUAACGGCUCACCAAGGCCGUGAUGCAUAGCCGACCUGAGAGGGUGAUCGGCCACAUUGGGACUGAGACACGGCCCAAACUCCUACGGGAGGCAGCAGUAGGGAAUCUUCCGCAAUGGACGAAAGUCUGACGGAGCAACGCCGCGUGAGUGAAGAAGGUUUUCGGAUCGUAAAACUCUGUUGUUAGAGAAGAACAAGUGCUAGAGUAACUGUUAGCGCCUUGACGGUAUCUAACCAGAAAGCCACGGCUAACUACGUG
rnacentral:rRNA from 1 species